CAGACCCGAAACCAAGUGACCUACCCAUGACCAGGUUGAAGGCGCGGUAAAACGCGCUGGAGGACCGAACCCACGUAAGUUGAAAAUUGCGGGGAUGAGUUGUGGGUAGCGGUGAAAUUCCAAACGAACUUGGAGAUAGCUGGUUCUCUCCGAAAUAGCUUUAGGGCUAGCCUCGCAAAGAGGAUGCUGGAGGUAGAGCUCUGUUUGGACUAGGGGCCCGUCAAGGGUUACUGAAUUCAGAUAAACUGCGAAUUCCAGACAUUUAUGUGCGGGAGUCAGACUGCGAGUGAUAAGAUCCGUAGUCGAAAGGGAAACAGCCCAGAUCACCAGUUAAGGUCCCAAAAUUCAUGCUAAGUGGAAAAGGAUGUGGAGUUGCGCAGACAACUAGGACGUUGGCUCAGAAGCAGCCAUCAUUCAAAGAGUGCGUAAUAGCUCACUAGUCGAGUGACGCCGCGCCGAAAAUUUACCGGGGCUAAGCAUGAUACCGAAACUGUGGAUGUGC
rnacentral:rRNA from 1 species